GGGUUGUGAGGUUAAGCGACUAAGCGUACACGGUGGAUGCCUAGGCAGUCAGAGGCGAUGAAGGGCGUGCUAAUCUGCGAUAAGCGUCGGUAAGCUGAUAUGAAGCGUUAUACCCGACGAUACCCGAAUGGGGAAACCCAGUGUGUUUCGACACACUAUCAUUAACUGAAUCCAUAGGUUAAUGAGGCGAACCGGGGGAACUGAAACAUCUCAGUACCCCGAGGAAAAGAAAUCAACCGAGAUUCCCCCAGUAGCGGCGAGCGAACGGGGAGGAGCCCAGAACCUGAAUCAGUUUGUGUGUUAGUGGAAGCGUCUGGAAAGUCGCACAGUAAAGGGUGAUAGUCCCGUACACAAAAAUGCACAAGCUGUGAGUUCGAUGAGUAGGGCGGGACACGUGACAUCCUGUCUGAAUAUGGGGGGACCAUCCUCCAAGGCUAAAUACUCCUGACUGACCGAUAGUGAACCAGUACCGUGAGGGAAAGGCGAAAAGAACCCCGGCGAGGGGAGUGAAAUAGAACCUGAAACCGUGUACGUACAAGCAGUGGGAGCCUACUUGUUAGGUGACUGCGUACCUUUUGUAUAAUGGGUCAGCGACUUAUAUUCUGUAGCAAGGUUAACCGAAUAGGGGAGCCGCAGGGAAACCGAGUCUUAACUGGGCGUUAAGUUGCAGGGUAUAGACCCGAAACCCGGUGAUCUAGCCAUGGGCAGGUUGAAGGUUGGGUAACACUAACUGGAGGACCGAACCGACUAAUGUUGAAAAAUUAGCGGAUGACUUGUGGCUGGGGGUGAAAGGCCAAUCAAACCGGGAGAUAGCUGGUUCUCCCCGAAAGCUAUUUAGGUAGCGCCUCGUGAACUCAUCUUCGGGGUAGAGCACUGUUUCGGCUAGGGGGUCAUCCCGACUUACCAACCCGAUGCAAACUACGAAUACCGAAGAAUGUUAUCACGGGAGACACACGGCGGGUGCUAACGUUCGUCGUGAAGAGGGAAACAACCCAGACCGCCAGCUAAGGUCCCAAAGUCAUGGUUAAGUGGGAAACGAUGUGGGAAGGCACAGACAGCCAGGAUGUUGGCUUAGAAGCAGCCAUCAUUUAAAGAAAGCGUAAUAGCUCACUGGUCGAGUCGGCCUGCGCGGAAGAUGUAACGGGGCUAAACCAUGCACCGAAGCUGCGGCAGCGACACUUAGGUGUUGUUGGGUAGGGGAGCGUUCUGUAAGCCGUCGAAGGUGGCCUGUGAGGGCUGCUGGAGGUAUCAGAAGUGCGAAUGCUGACAUAAGUAACGAUAAUGCGGGUGAAAAACCCGCACGCCGGAAGACCAAGGGUUCCUGUCCAACGUUAAUCGGGGCAGGGUGAGUCGACCCCUAAGGCGAGGCUGAAAAGCGUAGUCGAUGGGAAACAGGUUAAUAUUCCUGUACUCGGUGUUACUGCGAAGGGGGACGGAGAAAGCUAGGUUAUCCGGGCGACGGUUGUCCCGGUUUAAGCGUGAAGGUGGAUGACUUUGGUAAAUCCGGGUCAUUGUUAACACUGAGGCGUGAUGACGAGUCACUACGGUGAUGAAGUAACCAAUGCUACGCUUCCAGGAAAAGCCUCUAAGCUCCAGGUAACAUCAAAUCGUACCCCAAACCGACACAGGUGGUCAGGUAGAGAAUACUCAGGCGCUUGAGAGAACUCGGGUGAAGGAACUAGGCAAAAUGGUGCCGUAACUUCGGGAGAAGGCACGCUGGUGUGUAGGUGAAGUCCCUCGCGGAUGGAGCUGAAACCAGUCGAAGAUACCAGCUGGCUGCAACUGUUUAAUAAAAACACAGCACUGUGCAAACACGAAAGUGGACGUAUACGGUGUGACGCCUGCCCGGUGCCGGAAGGUUAAUUGAUGGGGUCAGCCGCAAGGCGAAGCUCUUGAUCGAAGCCCCGGUAAACGGCGGCCGUAACUAUAACGGUCCUAAGGUAGCGAAAUUCCUUGUCGGGUAAGUUCCGACCUGCACGAAUGGCGUAAUGAUGGCCAGGCUGUCUCCACCCGAGACUCAGUGAAAUUGAACUCGCUGUGAAGAUGCAGUGUACCCGCGGCAAGACGGAAAGACCCCGUGAACCUUUACUAUAGCUUGACACUGAACCUUGAGCCUUGAUGUGUAGGAUAGGUGGGAGGCUUUGAAGUGUGGACGCCAGUCUGCAUGGAGCCAACCUUGAAAUACCACCCUUUAAUGUUUGAUGUUCUAACGUGGACCCGUAAUCCGGGUUGCGGACAGUGUCUGGUGGGUAGUUUGACUGGGGCGGUCUCCUCCCAAAGCGUAACGGAGGAGCACGAAGGUUAGCUAAUCCUGGUCGGACAUCAGGAGGUUAGUGCAAAGGCAUAAGCUAGCUUGACUGCGAGAGUGACAGCUCGAGCAGGUGCGAAAGCAGGUCUUAGUGAUCCGGUGGUUCUGAAUGGAAGGGCCAUCGCUCAACGGAUAAAAGGUACUCCGGGGAUAACAGGCUGAUACCGCCCAAGAGUUCAUAUCGACGGCGGUGUUUGGCACCUCGAUGUCGGCUCAUCACAUCCUGGGGCUGAAGUAGGUCCCAAGGGUAUGGCUGUUCGCCAUUUAAAGUGGUACGCGAGCUGGGUUUAGAACGUCGUGAGACAGUUCGGUCCCUAUCUGCCGUGGGCGUUGGAAGAUUGAGAGGGGUUGCUCCUAGUACGAGAGGACCGGAGUGAACGCACCACUGGUGUACGGGUUGUGAUGCCAAUUGCAUUGCCCGGUAGCUAAGUGCGGAAGAGAUAACCGCUGAAAGCAUCUAAGCGGGAAACUUGCCUCGAGAUGAGUCUUCCCUGGGUACUUGAUACCCCUGAAGGGCCGUUGAAGACGACGACGUAGAUAGGCUGGGUGUGUAAGCGUAGCGAUACGUUGAGCUAACCAGUACUAAUGACCCGAGAGGCUUAACCUUACAACACCGAAGGUGUUU
rnacentral:rRNA from 1 species